UACAGGGGGGGCAAGCGUUGUUCGGAAUUACUGGGCGUAAAGGGUUCGUAGGUGGCCAACUAAGUCAUACGUGAAAUCCCUCAGCUUAACUGGGGAACUGCGUCUGAUACUGGUUGGCUUGAGUGCAGGAGAGGAACGCGGAAUUCCAGGUGUAGCGGUGAAAUGCGUAGAUAUCUGGAGGAACACCGGUGGCGAAGGCGGCGUUCUGGACUGCAACUGACGCUGAGGAACGAAAGCCAGGGGAGCAAACGGG
rnacentral:rRNA from 1 species